rnacentral:rRNA from 1 species
ACGCUAGCUACAGGCUUAACACAUGCAAGUCGAGGGGAAACGGCAUUAAGUGCUUGCACUUUUUGGACGUCGACCGGCGCACGGGUGAGUAACGCGUAUCCAACCUUCCCAUGACUAAGGGAUAACCUGCCGAAAGGCAGACUAAUACCUUAUGGUCUUCACUGACGGCAUCAGAUGUGAAGUAAAGAUUUAUCGGUUAUGGAUGGGGAUGCGUCUGAUUAGUUAGUUGGCGGGGUAACGGCCCACCAAGGCAACGAUCAGUAGGGGUUCUGAGAGGAAGGUCCCCCACAUUGGAACUGAGACACGGUCCAAACUCCUACGGGAGGCAGCAGUGAGGAAUAUUGGUCAAUGGGCGAGAGCCUGAACCAGCCAAGUAGCGUGCAGGACGACGGCCCUAUGGGUUGUAAACUGCUUUUGUAUGGGGAUAAAGUCAAUCACGUGUGAUUGUUUGCAGGUACCAUACGAACAAGGACCGGCUAAUUCCGUGCCAGCAGCCGCGGUAAUACGGAAGGUCCGGGCGUUAUCCGGAUUUAUUGGGUUUAAAGGGAGCGUAGGCUGGAGAUUAAGUGUGUUGUGAAAUGUAGACGCUCAACGUCUGACUUGCAGCGCAUACUGGUUUCCUUGAGUACGCACAACGUUGGCGGAAUUCGUCGUGUAGCGGUGAAAUGCUUAGAUAUGACGAAGAACUCCGAUUGCGAAGGCAGCCGACGGGAGCGCAACUGACGCUGAAGCUCGAAGGUGCGGGUAUCGAACAGGAUUAGAUACCCUGGUAGUCCGCACAGUAAACGAUGGAUGCCCGCUGUUGGUACGUGGUAUCAGCGGCUAAGCGAAAGCAUUAAGCAUCCCACCUGGGGAGUACGCCGGCAACGGUGAAACUCAAAGGAAUUGACGGGGGCCCGCAC